rnacentral:rRNA from 1 species
GAUGAACGCUGGCGGCGUGCCUAACACAUGCAAGUCGAGCGAAAGGACCAGAAGUUUGCUUCCCUGAUGUUAGCGGCGGAGGGGAGAGUCACAUGUGGAUAACCUACCUAUAAGACUGGGAUAAUUUCGGGAAAUGGGAGCUUCUACCCGAUAAUUUUUUGCACCUAGUUGUUCAAAAGUGAAAGUCGGUCUUGCUGUCGGUUAUAGAUGGAUCCGGGCUGCAUUAGUUAGUUGGGAAGGUAACGGCUUAGCAAGGCUGCGAGGGAUAGCCGACCUGAGCGGGUGAUCGGCCACCCGGGAAGGGAGACACGGUCCAGACUCCUACGGGAGGCAGCAGUAGGGAAUCUUCCGCAAGGGGGGAGAGCCUGACGGAGCAACGCCGCGGGAGUGAUGAAGGUGUUCGGAUCGGAAAGCUCUGAUAUUAGUGGAGAACAAAUGUGUAAUUAACUGAGCAGAUCGUGACGGUACCGGGUCAAAAAGCCACGGCUAACUACGUG